UCACUUGGGCAGUGCAUGUACUGAAUUUGGAGCAACACAGAGAAGAUUAGCACGGCCCCGCGCAAGGAUGACACACAAAUUUGUGAAGCGUUCCAUAGCUUU
rnacentral:snRNA from 1 species